rnacentral:rRNA from 1 species
UCUGGGACAAGCCCUGGAAACGGGGUCUAAUACCGGAUGACACUCUUCCCUGCAUGGGGGAGGGUUGAAAGCUCCGGCGGUGAAGGAUGAGCCCGCGGCCUAUCAGCUUGUUGGUGGGGUAAUGGCCUACCAAGGCGACGACGGGUAGCCGGCCUGAGAGGGCGACCGGCCACACUGGGACUGAGACACGGCCCAGACUCCUACGGGAGGCAGCAGUGGGGAAUAUUGCACAAUGGGCGAAAGCCUGAUGCAGCGACGCCGCGUGAGGGAUGACGGCCUUCGGGUUGUAAACCUCUUUCAGCAGGGAAGAAGCGAAAGUGACGGUACCUGCAGAAGAAGCGCCGGCUAACUACGUGCCAGCAGCCGCGGUAAUACGUAGGGCGCAAGCGUUGUCCGGAAUUAUUGGGCGUAAAGAGCUCGUAGGCGGCUUGUCACGUCGGUUGUGAAAGCCCGGGGCUUAACCCCGGGUCUGCAGUCGAUACGGGCAGGCUAGAGUGUGGUAGGGGAGAUCGGAAUUCCUGGUGUAGCGGUGAAAUGCGCAGAUAUCAGGAGGAACACCGGUGGCGAAGGCGGAUCUCUGGGCCAUUACUGACGCUGAGGAGCGAAAGCGUGGGGAGCGAACAGGAUUAGAUACCCUGGUAGUCCACGCCGUAAACGUUGGGAACUAGGUGUUGGCGACAUUCCACGUCGUCGGUGCCGCAGCUAACGCAUUAAGUUCCCCGCCUGG